rnacentral:rRNA from 1 species
UGGGGAAUCUUGCGCAAUGGGCGAAAGCCUGACGCAGCCAUGCCGCGUGAAUGAUGAAGGUCUUAGGAUUGUAAAAUUCUUUCACCGGGGACGAUAAUGACGGUACCCGGAGAAGAAGCCCCGGCUAACUUCGUGCCAGCAGCCGCGGUAAUACGAAGGGGGCUAGCGUUGCUCGGAAUUACUGGGCGUAAAGGGAGCGUAGGCGGACAUUUAAGUCAGGGGUGAAAUCCCGGGGCUCAACCUCGGAAUUGCCUUUGAUACUGGGUGUCUUGAGUGUGAGAGAGGUAUGUGGAACUCCGAGUGUAGAGGUGAAAUUCGUAGAUAUUCGGAAGAACACCAGUGGCGAAGGCGACAUACUGGCCUCAUUACUGACGCUGAGGCUCGAAAGCGUGGGGAGCAAACAGGAUUAGAUACCCCUGGGUAGUCCACGCCGUAAAACGAUGAUUGCUAGUUGUCGGGAUGCAUGCAUUUCGGUGACGCAGCUAACGCAUUAAGCAAUCCGCCUGGGGAGUACGGCCGCAAGAUUAAAACCUCAAAGGAAUUGACGGGGGUCAUAGCUGUUUCCUG